GUGUCAGCCGCCGCGGUAAGACAGAGGGUGCAAACGUUGUUCGGAAUUACUGGGCGUAAAGCGCGUGUAGGCGGCAGGGCAAGUCGGAUGUGAAAACCCACGGCUCAACCGUGGAAGUGCACCCGAUACUGCUCCGCUAGAGUCUCGGAGAGGAAGGUGGAAUGCUUGGUGUAGAGGUGAAAUUCGUAGAUAUCAAGCAGAACACCGGUGGCGAAGGCGGCCUUCUGGACGAUGACUGACGCUGAGACGCGAAAGCGUGGGGAGCAAACAGGAUUAGAUACCCCGGUAGUCC
rnacentral:rRNA from 1 species